UACGUAGGGUGCAAGCGUUAAUCGGAAUUACUGGGCGUAAAGCGUGCGCAGGCGGUUGGGCAAGACAGAUGUAAAAUCCCCGGGCUUAACCUGGGAAUUGCAUUUGUGACUGCACGGCUAGAGUGUGUCAGAGGGGGGUAGAAUUCCACGUGUAGCAGUGAAAUGCGUAGAUAUCGAGAGGAACACCAGUGGCGAAGGCGAGUCUCUGGACGACUCCUGACACUGAGGCACGAAAGCUAGGGGAGCAAACAGG
rnacentral:rRNA from 1 species